AACAUUUGGUCGACGUCUGUGACAUGAAAUACACGAUCAUCCACGCAGUUUCCAUGGCACGUACGACUAUGAUCGAUCGAGCAAUCGAUAAUAAGCUCGACCGAGUCUGAAAAGCUGAUUCCUAAGGGACGCCGACGGAUGCGUGGCGCGGGGACGAGACACGCGAUAGUUAUUUAACGUGAAAUCCAUUUUGCGUAACUCGAUUCCAACGUCAUCAUCGAGCCGAGCAAAACCGAUUUGCUCGCUCGGUGGCGGCGAGGCGCCGAGGAGGCGGCGGCAACGUCGCGGCGGCGUUGCGCUAGCAUCGAGGCCGAGAGGACUCGACUUUUCCUUUCUUGCUACCUUUUUCAGGGCACAUUUCCUGAUAGAAGAAAUAACUCAAGGUGUCCAAGGGAGGCGUCCAUCAUCCACUCCGUUUCCUGUUUGAAAUUAUAGUCCAGUUGCUGGAGGAGGAAAAUCGAUUUACGAAUCGCAGUUUCCUGCCUGCGAACAUCGUUUCCUUCGAUUCCACGUGGGAACUGUUUAAACCGUGCCAAUAACCGAAUUAUAAACAAUUAUUUGUCAAUCGAUUUUGUUGAUUUCAUUUUGUUCAUCAAAGUUCGUCGAUAUUUAAAAAUUGUCCAAUCAAUUUUUUCUUAAUAAUGUUGUAUCCAUUUUGCAAUAAUAACUGAAAUAAUAAUUUGCAA